CGGGCUUUCGUCGCUACAACAUAUUAUUGAUAUGGGAAGAAAUUUCCUUCCUUCGUUCAACAAUUCUAACGAACGUUAACGAGUAGGAUGAUUGUGGAUAACUUGGCUGGCAUUUCAUUGUGCCUAUGCAUUACAAUUAUUAUGCAUAGUAUAAUAGUUUAUACUAUGCUACUGGAUUGUUAUCCUUCUGUCCAUGAGGCUGGAUCUGGAGGACAAUUCAUGGUGGGUUAAUCCUCCAUUGCACUAGCAUUUGCAUGUGCGUCCUGAUCAGUAGUUCAUGGUGUUUUAAGGUGACUGGUUUGGAAACACGUUAGAUCACUUCAUUGUCAAUCAGACUGGUGGCAUGCUGUCUAAUGAAAGCUGUGCUUUCUAUAUAUUAAAGGUUGGGUGAAGGAGGUACAUGGUAGUUAAGCUCCAGUUUUUCACUAUGAUUUUGGUGAAUUUGGUGAAGUGGCAGUAGACUACCAAUUGAGACCGCAGGGAGAUGAAAAAUGUUGUGUUCAUCCUAAUUCUGCAGGCACCAGAGGUGCUCUUGUAUCAGGAGUUGAUGGUCGAAUUGGGACGUUAUUAACGCGGGGCUAGCAUGUUCGACGUCUUCUACUGUUGGAUCAUGGGUGUCCUUGGUGUGGCCGGCUUUCCAGCUGGGAAUUUUUGCUCGUUUCUUCGCUGUUACUGCCGUUAUAUACGGUUAGAUAUAUUGGCGUGGAAUUUUCGGUAUUGGUUGGUUAAAUCCAUUGGAUCAUUCAGUUUAGUUGCCAUUCUUCGUUCUACUUACUUUAAAGAAAUGGAUGGUGGUUUUGUAUUGUUGGGUUGCAACACCUUCGCUUAAGAUUUCCGCCUGACUUGUGUCUUGAUCCCUGGUAAAAUUUGCAGUUCGUUGCAGUGGGUUUACCAUUGAGAGAUGGUUUUUUGUCAGCGAUUAUUUCUAAUUGGGAUAAUAUUGGCGCGGCGAUAACAUAUUCGAUGUCUUCUACUAUGGGAUUAUGGGUGCUUUUGGUGGGGCCGGUUUGCUAGCUGGAAUCUUUUCUUCGCUGGUUUUACCGUUAGAUAGGGUAAUGGUUGGCAAAUCUUAAUGGAUGAUCCAGUUUUGUGGCUGUUCUGUGCUCUACAGAUAUCCGCUCAGAUUUGGUUUGGAUACAAGGUAAAAAUUGCAGUUCGUUGCUGUAGUUUUGUGGCUGUGAGGUGGUUUGUGUCGGCAAUUAUGGUUGAUUUAUUGGAAAUCGGUGUGAUGUUAUGUUCAACGUCUUUUACAAUGGGAUUGUGGUAAUGAAACUGCAAUGCGGUAAUGUAUAUUAUCCGUAAUGAUGAAAAUGAGUUACCGUUUGAUGAUCGUGAAACUAUUAUUUUGGCUGUAAAUUACUGACAUCUACAAUCUUAACUUAAUCUCUUAUUAUAAGAUUGACUUAGUUAACCAACUGACUUGGAUGUUUUCAGGGUGCUUUUGGUAUGGCCGGUUUUCCAGCUGGAAUUUUUUCUUCGAUUUUUCGCUGGCGCUACUGUUACAUACGGCUAUACUUGAGAUUGGUUAGUGAAACCCAAUGGAUGAUCCAGUUUUAUGGCCGUUCUGCGGUCUACAGGUGAGAUAGUAAAUUAAUUAUGGCUUAAUUGUUGUAGUGUCUGAGACAUAGGGUUUUCUUUGAGCUUUCCUAGUGCUACAGGAUUUUAUACAUUAAAGGGGCUUUUUAUGCUUGUUUCCAUAAUGGGUAUGGUUUUCUAUCAACUAAGUUGGGUCCAUUUUCUUGUACAUAGUUUUCCGUCGUAUAAGUAGUGUAAACAGUAUUUUCAUUCUUUAUAUAUAACGUACGUUUAGGUAUAACCUGUUGUAGCACUUUUUGCUUGCGCAAUUUUCCCCCUUCCUAUUGAUCACGUUGUUUGAAGGUGUGUUGUGUGUAUCUGCAAUAUUUGAUAUUCCUUGAAAAUGGCAAAUUUUGUGACAAUCGAGUCUGGUUUCAAAUAAAUAAAACAUUCAUACGGAAAA
rnacentral:lncRNA from 1 species